rnacentral:rRNA from 1 species
GCCCAGCACCGAAUCCCGCGUUCGAUACCGGACGCCGGGAAAUGUGGUGUUUAAGAGGAUCCGUUUAUCCCGAGGUCGCGCGGCGAGUCCAAGUCCUUCUUGAACGGGGCCACAGCCCAUAGAGGGUGCCAGGCCCGUAGCGGCCGCCGCCGAUCGCGGGAGGGUCUCUCUUUAGAGUCGGGUUGCUUGAGAGUGCAGCCCUAAGCGGGUGGUAAACUCCAUCUAAGGCUAAAUACAACCACGAGACCGAUAGCGAACAAGUACCGUGAGGGAAAGUUGAAAAGCACUUUGAAGAGAGAGUUCAAGAGUACGUGAAACCGUUCAGGGGUAAACCUGAGAAACCCGAAAGGUCGAAAGGGGAAAUUCAUCGCGUUUCAUACGUACGUCGGCGAUGAACGGUGUUUCGGCGACGGACGGCGCGUUCGCGUUAGCCGUCCGCGCUCGCCGUUCGUUCGAUUCCGGCCGUGAACGCGCGCACUUUUCCCCUAGUAGGACGUCGCGAUCCGUUGAGUAUCGGAUUACGGUGGACGGUGGAGACCGCGCGCGGAAUCAUUUUAAUCGGUGGUUAGCGCACGCGGACCCGUCUUAUUUCCUAUCCGAUUCGCUCGACGGUAUAGUAUAACGGCGACGGGUCGCUAUUUUCUAGCGGAUUUAGCGUCCGACCCACGGCAAGCGCGUUCGGUGUCUAAGACGGCGAUCGGACCCGGUGCCGGUUCCGUCCCCGGACGACUGUUGGCCGUGCGGAUAUCUCGGACAGA